rnacentral:rRNA from 1 species
GACGAACGCUGGCGGCGUGCCUAACACAUGCAAGUCAACGAGAAAGGGGUAGCAAUAUCCUGAGUAAAGUGGCGCACGGGUGAGUAACACGUAGGUAAUCUGCCAUCAGGGACGGGGACAACCACGCGAAAGCGUGGCUAAUACCCGAUGAAUCGACGAUGCCGCAUGGCAUUGUUAUUAAAUACCGCAAGGUGCCUGGUGAUGAACCUGCGUCCCAUUAGGUAGUUGGUGAGGUAACGGCUCACCAAGCCGACGAUGGGUAGCUGGUCUGAGAGGAUGAUCAGCCACACUGGAACUGAGACACGGUCCAGACUCCUACGGGAGGCAGCAGUGAGGAAUAUUGCGCAAUGGGACGAAAGCCUGACGCAGCGACGCCGCGUGAGGGAUGACGGCC